ACGGGAGGCAGCAGUGAGGAAUAUUGGUCAAUGGACGGAAGUCUGAACCAGCCAUGCCGCGUGCAGGAAUAAGGCCCUAUGGGUCGUAAACUGCUUUUGACGGGGAGCAAUAAGGCGUACGUGUACGCCGAUGAGAGUACUCGUGGAAUAAGCAUCGGCUAACUCCGUGCCAGCAGCCGCGGUAAUACGGAGGAUGCAAGCGUUAUCCGGAUUUAUUGGGUUUAAAGGGUGCGUAGGCUGUUGCGCAAGUCAGUGGUGAAAUGCCCGGGCUCAACCUGGGACGUGCCAUUGAUACUGCGCGGCUGGAAUACGGAUGCCGUGGGAGGAAUGAGUAGUGUAGCGGUGAAAUGCAUAGAUAUUACUCAGAACACCGAUUGCGAAGGCAUCUCACGAAUCCGUCAUUGACGCUGAGGCACGAAAGCGUGGGGAUCAAACAGGAUUAGAUACCCUGGUA
rnacentral:rRNA from 1 species